AGAGUUUGAUCAUGGCUCAGCCUGAACGCUGGCGGCGUGGCUAAGACAUGCAAGUCGUACGGGACCCGCAAGGGUCCAGUGGCGGACGGGUGAGUAAUGAAUCGCUAAUGUACCCCAGAGUCUGGGAUAGCUGCCCGAAAGGGCAGGUAAUACCAGAUGAUAUAUCCGGUUGGCAUCAACUGGAUCUCAAAGGAGCAAUACGCUCUGGGAGCAGGCGAUUUCGUAUCAGCUUGUUGGUGAGGUAACGGCUCACCAAGGCGACGACGCGUAGCUGGUCUGAGAGGACGGCCAGCCACAUUGGGACUGAGACACUGCCCAGACUCCUACGGGGGGCUGCAGUAACGAAUCUUCCGCAAUGCACGCAAGUGUGACGGAGCGACGCCGCGUGUGGGACGAAGUCCUUCGAGAUGUAAACCACUGUCAGGGGUUAGAAAGUUCUGAUCAACCCCAGAGGAAGAGACGGCUAACUCUGUGCUAGCCGCCGCGGUAAUC
rnacentral:rRNA from 1 species